AGCAGUGUGUCUCUACCCCGGUCCGUACCCAUAUCCGCAGCAGGUCUCCAAGGUGAACAGCCUCUAGUCCCUAGAACAAUGUAGGUGAGGGAAGUCGGCAAAUUGGAACCGUAACUUCGGGACAAGGUUUGGCUAUGAGGGUCGGGUCAGCUGGGUUGCUGCCGGAAGUGGGCGCGGGCUCCGAGCGAACGCGGCGUCGGGCGGGUCUUCUUCUUUCGUGGGGGUUGGCCUGCUCGGUGCAGGGCGGCGCAGGGGUCCUGCUUGCGGAAGGUGGCAGCUGCGCCUGCGGUGGUUUCGGUCGCCGUCAGGCCCCGGUUGGCGUCCGACGGCCAACUCAGAACUGGCACGGACAAGGGGAAUCCGACUGUCUAAUUAAAACAAAGCAUCCCGAAGGCCGUCCCCCGGCUUUGACGGGAUGUGAUUUCUGCCCAGUGCUUUGAAUAUCAAAGUGAAGAAAUUCAAUCAAGCGCAGGUAAACGGCGGGAGUAACUAUGACUCUCUUAAGGUAGCCAAAUGCCUUGUCAUCCAAUUAGUGACGCGCAUGAAUGGAUCAACGAGAUUCCCACUGUCCCCAUCUACUAUCUACAAAAAAAACCACAGCCAGGGAAACGGGCCUGGGUCCUUCGUCGGGGAAAGAAGACCCUGUUGAGCUUGACAGCAGUUUGGCUUUGUACGGAGGCACCAGAGGUGUAGAAUAGGCGGGAGACUUCGGUCGCCGGUGAAAUACCGCCACUCUGGUAGCUUCCGCACUCACUCUGUGAUGAGACAUUGGCGCGGCGAGCUGUCGGUUUUGCCGCAGCCCGUCGUCGUCUUCAUUUCUAGCCUUAAGGGCGGGGGGCUCGUCCUCCCGCCUUAGCCCUGCAGAGGACAUAGUCAGGUGGGCUGUUUGAUUGGGGCGGUACAUCUGUCAAAAGGUAACGCAGGUGUCCCAAGGAUGGCUCAGCGAGGACAGAAACCUCGCGUAGAGCAAAAGGGCAAAAGCCAUCUUGAUCCUGAUUUUCAGUCCGAAUACGGACCGCGAAAGCGGGGCCUAUCGAUCCUUUUUGAACUUUGGAGUUUGAAGCAAGAGGUGUCAGAAAAGUUACCACAGGGAUAACUGGCUUGUG
rnacentral:rRNA from 1 species